UGGUGGAAUUGUGAAUUUUAGCGUUUUGAGUACAAUUCAGUCAUAUACCUCGUGAUUCACAUGUAGCUGUGGGUUUCACGCAGGGGACUGGGUCUCAUAGAUGCUAAUUUUUUCAAAAAAAACGAUGUUCUUGAUCUUGAUCAUUAUGAAUCAUUCGGCGACGAUAUUUGUCAACGAAAGAUUCUAAAAGUUCAACGAUCAAGGAUAGGUUUAUCUGAGAGCCAUGGCCCAUUGCUCAGUUGUGCAAGGUUGCGACGCAGCAUGUUGUAUCUCCGUUGUAUUCCAUAUGUUUUGACAUUAGCGUUCGUUUACGUACGUCGCAGUUUCGGCGUGCAGUCAGAAUAUUUAGUUGGGUUUAGCUGAGUUUUUGAAUUGAUUCAUUGGUAUUUUCCCUUUUUGGCCAUUUAUGAUUUGGCUUUAUUAUACCUAGUUUUCGUUCUAGAUAAAUAUUGCACAUUUUUACUGCAGGCCCGUUUCGCCGGUCCGUUUCGACACUGUUGUCAUUUUGGAUGUUUCAUAUAUAAGUCCCUUUGCUUGGUCCGCUCUGACUGGUCUGAACAAAAUACCAGGAAAACAAUUCUGCAUGAACCUAAUUUUAGUGUGAACCACUGGACAAAUAUUUGUUUUUAUUUAUUUAUUGAUUCAAACUUUAUUUACCGAAAUUGGUAAAAUGGGCGGACUUAACUCUAAAAGCAUUUGUUAUGUGUUAAGAUGUAUUAUAUUUCUGCGUUUACGGCAGAGGGCAAAAUAAUUAAAAUAUCUGCGAUUGAACUAUUAAUACCUAUAUUUUUCUAAUGUAACUACGGUCUGUUAUCAAAAGUAAUUUUAACAAAAAUCUUCCCGUCUUAAUACUGCGUGAAUACUCUGUAAUAAACUCGAGUUCAACUGACCGAGAGCUGAACCUUAAUCAUUAAAAAUAUUUCUAAAGGCGCAGGUACAUAGUAUGUAUAUAUUAUAUAUAAUAUGUAUAACGUAUAUAUUAUAUAUAAUGUCAAACAAAUUCUUCGCAGAAAUUAUUGCACAAGUGUUGUGGAACCUACAGCAGUGUCGUUUUUGAGAUAAGUUUGCAGUUUUGGAAAUGUUACCUGUUUGUUAAAAGCGUACAGCAGUUAAACUGUUAGAAUUGUAUCCUAACAUUUCCCUUAUAAAGAUUUUUCCUACUGAUCACUCUUGUCUUGGCUUUUUGAAAAAGCAUGUUGCUUCUUUCUGAUUCGAAAUGUUGUUAGGCAUGGUUGUUAGUCUCUACUCUCAGCUUCCCGUUAAAUGGCAAUGAUGUAUAGGUGACAUGUCUAUAUUUCUUUUUCUAUUGGCCAUUGGGCUAGCACUGAUAGCUACCACAUAGCUAGAUAUAGCUAUGUGGUAGCUAUCAUUGAGCAAAAAUUUGAACGACGUAAAAAAUUAAACUUCAACAAUUUUGUCGUUUGGGUUAGACAUGAGGUGGUUAAUCCCUCCCUCUAAUUGAGUGGUCAAACCAAAUACUUCUGGGAAUAAAUAUUGCAAGAAUUAUAUAUCGGUAUUCCAAUACUGAUAUGAUUCUGAUAUAUAAUUACUGAGUUAAAUGUGGGCUGUGGGAGACGGAAUUUUUUGUGUUUCAACAUUCAUUUCUGUAAUCAGGCAAAAGAAUUAUAGCAGCUACAAUUGAUUUUUUAAUUUUUCCAACUAAACCACAAAUUGGUAAUAAAACAUUUAAAAUUUUUAAUCAUUUGGGAUUUUCCCUUAUCGUAUAGGCAUCUUUUAAAAAAAGAAAAUGUGUGGACGCAAUCGUGUGCUACGUUUAUGUUUGUCUGUCAUCUGGUGUUUUUUUAGAUUAUAAAAAACUCGAUUUCAAAUCAUUUGGAUUGAACAUAAUGUGAGCUCUAAUUGAGUGAUCAAAACAAAUACUUCUGAAUAGUUAAUAAAAAAAUAAUUGAUGCGGACAACAAUCGUAUUACAUUUUAGCUACAGCUUUCAAUCGGAACAUUGCCAUUUUUUAUGACUCCUGAAUGGCGAUCAUGAAUCAGCAAGUAAGGACCAUGGAAUUAGUAGGUACUGUACGAAGUACUUUUUAUUAAAUCCAUGGUAAGGACAUAUUCACAAUACAUUUCCUCCAUCUGGCCACAUGUUAUCUGACUUUGUCGAUGAAUGAUGUAAUUAAUCCUCCAUUUCCACUUUUUUAUUGAAAGUCAAAAAAAAUCUUUAGAAAUCAGACUUCAACGGGCAAAAUUAUAUUUGUUUUCAGCGACCAAUAAGACCAUAUUGUCCCCGCGCCUUUAACAUUAUAAUUUCAAAUUGAAAUCGAAAAUAUAAUUCACUUACAAUUUUUCAACUUCCACUAAACCUCUUUGGGUUUGCACUGAUCUACGUACUAAAACUUAAAGAAUUACACUUUUCACAAAGAGUGCUUUAUGAUCAAAUCAUUACGUACUCCAGAACAUAGAAAUUCUAUAAAUGACUCCCUGUUGGUCAUUUCUUAUCUUUCGAGUUUGCGAAUAAAAUAUUUAAUCAGAUUGCACAUAUGUAGUGUGUCCUCGUAACUAUUGUCAAAACAAAUACUUCCGGAUUAGUAUUUAUUAUUUAUAAUUAAAUAAUUUUCCCGCAAAUUCAUUUCGGUCACAGCUUUUGUAGCCGAGAACAAAAUAAUUUAAACAACAACUAUUGAUAUUUUCAUAGAUUCCAAUCGAGGUUUCAACUGUUAUUACAGUUUCAAAUUUAACUUAUAAAAUAUCUUCCAAAUAUAAUCCCUUCUCACCACAGCGAGUGGCUUGCUCAUGAUUUAUCUUCUUGGAAACUAUAAAUAAGUGCGACUUUUCCUUUUUAACCAUUUCGGUUUAAAAAUCAAUGUUUGAAAUACCUAUUUCUAGCAUACCUAACAUCAGAACAAAUACUUUUGUGAUGACAACUCUGCAGAAUUGGUACAGUUUUGUCAUUCUUGAGGUAAGUUUGCGUUUUAGCAAUAUUAUUCGUUUAUCAAAAGAUACAGUUUUAAACAGUUCUGUAACCUAAGCAUUUUCCAAAUCAUUUAUUCAGAAAUUAGAUCUUCAUGGAAACUUUUUCACGUCCAAUUUUACAUUAUAUAGGUAGUAAUUCCUCGAAAAGCUACAAGCUACUGGCAUUCUCUAAACAUGUGUGUGUUGUUCCGCCCUAUUUUUCCAACUAGUCACUUUUAGUCAAAGCAUUUAUACAGAAAUUAGACUUUCACAGGCACUUUUUCACGUCAAAUUUUACAUUAUAUAAGUAGUAAUUCCUCAAAAGCUACUGGGAUUAUCUAAAAUGUGUGUGUUGUUCUCUGUUUUUCCUACUAGUCAUUAUUGAGCUGACUUUUAAAUAGGUAACUCUUAUUCGUAAUAUCGUCUAUUUCUAUUAUCAGCUUCACGCUGAAAGGCAAUAUGAUGAAUAAGUAAGUCGAAAUGUUCUUAAUACAUUUUUUCCUAUGGGCUUAUAGUAACGAGUAUGUUGCUUUGUGGUAGCUAUUGUUGACGAUAGCUUGAGGUGGAAUACUUCUGGCGGAUGAUUUCAUGCUCAACUUCCAAAUUUGAUGGAAAGUCAAAGCAUUUCUUUCGAAAUCGUAUAUUCAUGGGGGUACUUUAUCACGUAAACUUUCUAAUGAUAAACCAUUUUUCUAACCUACAAACAAAGGUUUCAGCGGACAAUGUGGUCGUCACAUUACCGUGUCGUUUCAUUGUAAUUCCAAGUUUAAAUCGAAUUUAAUAAUUAAAAUUAUUUGCCAAACAAAAGCAUUUUCCAAAUCAUUUAUUCAGAAAUUAGAUCUUCAUGGGAACUUUUUCACGUCAAAUUUUACAUUAUAUAGGUAAUAUUUCCUCGAAAAGCUACAAGCUACCUGCAUUCUCUAAAAAUGUGUGUGUUGUUCCGCCCUAUUUUCCAACUAAUCACUUUUAGUCAAAUAAUUUAUUCAGAAAUUAGACUUUCACAGGCACUUUUUCACGUCAAAUUUUACAUUAUAUAAGUAGUAAUUCCUCAAAAGCUACUGGGAUUAUCUAAAAUGUGUGUGUUGUUCUCUGUUUUUCCUACUAGUCAUUAUUGAGCUGACUUUUAAAUAGGUAACUCUUAUUCGUAAUAUCGUCUAUUUCUAUUAUCAGCUUCACGCUGAAAGGCAAUAUGAUGAAUAAGUAAGUCGAAAUGUUCUUAAUACAUUUUUCCCUAUGGGCUUAUAGUAACGAGUAUGUUGCUUUGUGGUAGCUAUUGUUGACGAUAGCUUGAGGUGGAAUACUUCUGGCGGAUGAUUUCAUGCUCAACUUCCAAAUUUGAUUGAAAGUCAAGCAUUUCUUUCGAAAUCGUAUAUUCAUGGGGGUACUUUAUCACGUAAACUUUGUAAUGAUAAACCAUUUUUCUAACCUACAAACAAAGGUUUCAGCGGACAAUGUGGUCGUCACAUUACCGUGCCGUUUCAUUGUAAUUCCAAGUUUAAAUCGAAUUUAAUAAUUAAAAUUAUUUGCCAAACAAAAGCAUUUUCCAAAUCAUUUAUUCAGAAAUUAGAUCUUCAUGGGAACUUUUUCACGUCAAAUUUUACAUUAUAUAGUAAUAUUUCCUGGAAAAGCUACAAGCUGGCAGUCUCUAAAAAUCUGUGUGUUGUUCCGCCCUAUUUUUCCAACUAGUCACUUUUAGUCAAAUCAUUUAUUCAGAAAUUAGACUUUCACAGGCAACAUUUACAUUAAAAUUAUUUGCCAAAUAAAAGCAUUUUCCAAAUCAAUUAUUCAGAAAUUAGAUCUUCAUGGGAACUUUUUCACGUCAAAUUUUACUUUAUAUAAGUAGUAAUUCCUCAAAAGCUACUGGCAUUCUCUAAAAUGUGUGUGUUGUUCCCUGUUUUUCCUACUAGUCAUUAUUAAGCUGACUUUUAAAUAGGUAACUCUUAUUCGUAAUAUCGUCUAUUUCUAUUAUCAGCUUCACGCUGAAAGGCAAUAUGAUGAAUAAGUAAGUCGAAAUGUUCUUAACACAUUUUUCCCUAUGGGCUUAUAGUAACGAGUAUGUUGCUUUGUGGUAGCUAUUGUUGACGAUAGCUUGAGGUGGAAUACUUCUGGCGGAUGAUUUCAUGCUCAACUUCCAAAUUUGAUUGAAAGUCAAGCAUUUCUUUCGAAAUCGUAUAUUCAUGGGGGUACUUUAUCACGUAAACUUUGUAAUGAUAAACCAUUUUUCUAACCUACAAACAAAGGUUUCAGCGGACAAUGUGGUCGUCACAUUACCGUGCCGUUUCAUUGUAAUUCCAAGUUUAAAUCGAAUUUAAUAAUUAAAAUUAUUUGCCAAACAAAAGCAUUUUCCAAAUCAUUUAUUCAGAAAUUAGAUCUUCAUGGGAACUUUUUCACGUCAAAUUUUACAUUAUAUAGUAAUAUUUCCUGGAAAAGCUACAAGCUGGCAGUCUCUAAAAAUCUGUGUGUUGUUCCGCCCUAUUUUUCCAACUAGUCACUUUUAGUCAAAUCAUUUAUUCAGAAAUUAGACUUUCACAGGCAACAUUUACAUUAAAAUUAUUUGCCAAAUAAAAGCAUUUUCCAAAUCAAUUAUUCAGAAAUUAGAUCUUCAUGGGAACUUUUUCACGUCAAAUUUUACAUUAUAUAAGUAGUAAUUCCUCAAAAGCUACUGGCAUUCUCUAAAAUGUGUGUGUUGUUCCCUGUUUUUCCUACUAGUCAUUAUUGAGCUGACUUUUAAAUAGGUAACUCUUAUUCGUAAUAUCGUCUAUUUCUAUUAUCAGCUUCACGCUGAAAGGCAAUAUGAUGAAUAAGUAAGUCGAAAUGUUCUUAAUACAUUUUUCCCUAUGGGCUUAUAGUAACGAGUAUGUUGCUUUGUGGUAGCUAUUGUUGAUAAUAACUUGAGGUGGAAUACUUCUGGCGGAUGAUUUCAUGCUCAACUUCCAAAUUUGAUUGAAAGUCAAGCAUUUCUUUCGAAAUCGUAUAUUCAUGGGGGUACUUUAUCACGUAAACUUUGUAAUGAUAAACCAUUUUUCUAACCUACAAACAAAGGUUUCAGCGGACAAUGUGGUCGUCACAUUACCGUGCCGUUUCAUUGUAAUUCCAAGUUUAAAUCGAAUUUAAUAAUUAAAAUUAUUUGCCAAACAAAAGCAUUUUCCAAAUCAUUUAUUCAAAAAUUAGAUCUUCAUGGGAACUUUUUCACGUCAAAUUUUACAUUAUAUAGUAAUAUUUCCUGGAAAAGCUACAAGCUGGCAUUCUCUAAAAAUCUGUGUGUUGUUCCGCCCUAUUUUUCCAACUAGUCACUUUUAGUCAAAUCAUUUAUUCAGAAAUUAGACUUUCACAGGCAACAUUUACAUUAAAAUUAUUUGCCAAAUAAAAGCAUUUUCCAAAUCAAUUAUUCAGAAAUUAGAUCUUCAUGGGAACUUUUUCACGUCAAAUUUUACAUUAUAUAAGUAGUAAUUCCUCAAAAGCUACUGGCAUUCUCUAAAAUGUGUGUGUUGUUCCCUGUUUUUCCUACUAGUCAUUAUUGAGCUGACUUUUAAAUAGGUAACUCUUAUUCGUAAUAUCGUCUAUUUCUAUUAUCAGCUUCACGCUGAAAGGCAAUAUGAAGAAUAAGUAAGUCGACAUGUUCUUAAUACAUAUUUAAUCAUUUUGAUCGCACAUAGUACGUGUCCUCGUAACUAUUGGUCCAAAGAAAUACUUCUGGAUAGUAUUAAUUAUAAUUAAAUAAUGUUCUCGCAAAUUCAUUUCGGUCACUGCCUUUGUAGCCGAGAAAAAAAUAAUUUAAACUAUUGAUCUUUUCAUAGUUUAUUCCAAUCGAGGUUUCAACUGUUAUUACAGUUUCAAAUUAAACUCAUCUUCCAAAUACAUUAUCAAAACAUUAAUUCAACCUAAUAAAAUUCCUUCUCCCCACAGCGAGUGGCUUACUCAUAAAUUAUCUUCUUGGAAACUAUAUGAGCGAGUUUUCCUUUUUAACCAUUUUGGUUUAAAAAUCAAUGUUUGAAAUACCUAUUUCUAGCAUACCUAACAUCAGAACAAAUACUUUUGUGAUAACAACUCUGCAGAAUUGGUACAGUUUUGUCAUUCUUGAGGUAAGUUUGCGUUUUAGCAAUCUUAUUCGUUUGUCCAAAUUUUAUACAAUUCUGUAACCUAAGCUUUUUCAAAUCAUUUAUUCAGAAAUUAGAUCUUCAUGGGAACUUUUUCACGUCAAAUGUUACAUUAUAGAGGUAGUAAUUCCUCGAAAAGCUACAAGCUACUGGCAUUCUCUAAAAAUGUGUGUGUUGUUCCCCCCUAUUUAUUUCCAACUAGUAGCUAGGUCAGCUAUCGUCGUGGUGGUAUACUUCUGGCGGAUGAUUUUAUGCUCAACUUCCAAAUUAGAUUGAAAGUCAAAGCAUAUAUUCUGAAAUCCUAAUAAUAUACAAUUUUUCUGACCUACAAACGAAGGUAUCAGCGAACAACUGGAUCGUCACAUUUCCAUGUCAUUCUCAUUGCAAUUUCAAGUUUAAAUUGAUUAUAAUAAUUUAAAUUAUUGAACUGGAGAGAGAUCCCGACUCUCAAUCUUCCUUACGUAUUAUAAAACAAAGUUCGUUACUGCGUCUGUCUAUGUGUCUGUCAGUCUGUUCGCGAUAUACUUAAAAUAUACUACAUGGAUAUUCUUGCGAUCUUCACCAAAGGAUAGUGUGAUUGCCGAUGAUGGUUUAGCUGUAUAAUUUAUUUUAUACGACACCUCUGAUCCGAAAUAAUGUAAUUCCAUGAAAAUUCCGUGACGAAUUCCAUGAAAGUACAUAGGUAAUUGAAGACCCGGCCUGAAAUUAUACUAGGGAUGCCAUGGGUCCGAAUUAAAGUUCCCAUGGCACUCCAGGGGAGCCUUGGGUCCGGAAUGGAAAAUUGAAAAUUCCUCUUGGAAAUUAUUUAUAACCCGGUCGAAAUAAAUGUGAACAUCGCAGCAUACAUACGUCAUUUAGACAGGUACUAAUAAGCAUGGAUUUAAUAAGUACUUCGUAGUACCUACUAAUACCAUGGUACCUGUUAAGUACCUACUAAUUCCAUAAUCCAAACACAAUUCCGUCGUGUUACAUCAGUAUUGAUAGCAAUGAGUAUUUAUAAGUGCAGCAGGCUUUUAACAAUAAGUCACUGGCAAAAAAUAGGUAGGUAUUCUAUUUUUUCAAAAUACGAACAAAUUUUAUGGAGUUGUUGUAAUUAUCUUAGUAAUGUCUUAUUUCUAUUAUUUUUAUUAUCUUCGUAGGCAUGUGUCGUAUAGUGCACUAUAAGUACGAUACACUCGUGUGUCUGCGACCCUCGACUAAACCGACUAAACGUCUCGGAUCGCAACAUACACACUCGUUAAAAUCUGUGACUUUAAUUUCUCGAUGAACAAUGUAUUGUGUACUAAUGAUUUUAACCGGGCGAAGCGGGAACGGGCUGUUAUUAUUUUUAACCCCCGACGCAAAAACAGGGGGCUGUAAGUUUGAUCGUUAAGUGUGUCUGUCUGCUCAUCAAAGAGUGAACCGAUUUAGAUGCGGUUUUUUUAUUUGAUAGCAAAUUUUUAUGCGUUGGUUCUCAGAUAUGUUUAAUCAAAAUCGGUUCAGCCGUUCAAAAGUUGUAGCGAAAUUAAAGUCAGUUGGAAGAUGAUAGUAGGUUACGUAGGUAUUUGAUUGUUGUAGUUGUGUAGUCGAAGAACUUUUAAAAUUUUUAUUUGUUCUGUUCAUAAAUUUAGAAAUGAUGUGUCUGUUCCUAUGUGUGUGUACCAAUAUGUUUUAAAAAAUGUUGUUAUGACAAAAUAAUUUUUCAUUUGUAAUGGCAAUUUUCUGUUGUGACUGUGUGAAAAAACGUCAAGUAAUAAAGUGAUAUGAUGACGUCAAUUAAAUAAAUGUGAAUUUUUAUAGUAGUACCGUUAUACGUUCGACCCAGCUUAGGUCAGCUUGGUCCCUGGGCAUGGCAUGGGUCGGUGUCCAGUGGCCAAAUUCUGCUAUUUUAUUCCAAGCCGUUGUAGACUUGAAACGCAUUGAAGGCAACUUUUGGUAGGUAAUAUGCUAUUUGUCAGAAUGAAGCCGUAACGCGUUUAGUACAAUCAACAGCAAAUCCAGUUACCCUUCAUAAACCUCUAUGACACGGUAAUAGCGUCGAAUUUGUAUUUGCAAUGAAUUUGUGUAGGUUGAUGUGCUGUCAAAAGUAACUGUUUUGCAUGGGCAGUGAAAGACAAUAAUAUUUUGUGAUGCAAUGAGUUCCUAUCUAGCAUGAGAUAUAAUGUUGAGAGCGCAGCUUCGGGACAUUGUUAAAGCCAGAGGCCAUCGCUGAAUUAGCCGUAAUUUCAGUGUGAAAAAGACGACCGAGAUCUAUCGGUUAACAAAGAUUCUCGCGAAUAGCCUCAAAUGACACGACAUUUUUACUCCAGACUCGCCGCAGUGAUACCAUAAGUCCAGAAGAUAAGAUUUUAUUCCAAAUUGCCAGACAUUGUUGGGUGCAUCGAUGGGACUCACGUCUCCAUAAUUAGGCCUGUUCAUAAUGAGGAGAGAGAGACACAUCAACAGGAAGAAACUCCUUGAAAGAACAAAUUAUUUGUGAUCCAAAUAAUGAGUGCAAUAAUAAUAAUGCCAGCCUCCUGGUCCCACACAUGAUCGCAUUAUUUGGGGUAAACAUCCAUUACAUAUUCAGCGGAAGUUGGUUUUGGCUGAGAAUUAGUUUUAAAAAUAAAAUACAUACCUAGAUAUAUUUGUAUCCGUAUUUGACGGAUAAAAGGAGAACAAUCAAUAGGUAAUUACCUUGUUGUUCGUCGCGAACUUAUGACCUCGAGACUUUACAAAAUUGUGAAUAUUUCAAGAUUUGGUUGCCCCACGAACUAAAAAAUAUAUUGGCAGAUCCUACAUACCUUUUAAAUUUCUAAAAGUUGUCGCGUUACAAACAUACAUACAUAAAUACAAAUGCACGCUGGCUGGAGGUCUUACUUCGAAGCCUGUAGAGAAAGUAGCAACAACGGAUCCAAUUGUGACACUGUGCAAAGCAAUAUCAAGCUACAAUUCUGGCAUGGCAUUACCAUCCGCGAACAGGUGACCCCGCUGAAUAGAAAUACAAGUUCAGAAUGAAGCGAAGAUCAAUAUAAUAAGACCCCGCGCUGAAAGGAAGCAUACGAUAGUGAUACGAUGACGUCAAUUAAAUAAAUGUGAAUUUUAUAGUAGUACCGUUAUACGUUCGACCCAGCUUAGGUCAGCUUACAUUCGACGCGCUGAAAGGAAGCAUACGCUGAAUGGUGUAGUACACACAGAAUAGAAUACUUGUUUCCUCCAAACGACUUUGUACCAGUGUCAUGUAUUAUAAUUUUAAUGCAGUUAAUAAAACAUAUGGAUUAUAAA